GGAUUGUGGCUCAGUGGUAGAGCGCUCGCCUAGUAAGGGUGAGACCGGGGUUCGAUCCUCAGCACCA
rnacentral:tRNA from 1 species